rnacentral:rRNA from 1 species
GAUGAACGCUGGCGGCGUGCCUAAUACAUGCAAGUCGAGCGAAUGGAUUAAGAGCUUGCUCUUAUGAAGUUAGCGGCGGACGGGUGAGUAACACGUGGGUAACCUGCCCAUAAGACUGGGAUAACUCCGGGAAACCGGGGCUAAUACCGGAUAACAUUUUGAACCGCAUGGUUCGAAAUUGAAAGGCGGCUUCGGCUGUCACUUAUGGAUGGACCCGCGUCGCAUUAGCUAGUUGGUGAGGUAACGGCUCACCAAGGCAACGAUGCGUAGCCGACCUGAGAGGGUGAUGGGCCACACUGGGACUGAGACACGGCCCAGACUCCUACGGGAGGCAGCAGUAGGGAAUCGUCCGCAAUGGACGAAAGUCUGACGGAGCAACGCCGCGUGAGUGAUGAAGGCUUUCGGGUCGUAAAACUCUGUUGUUAGGGAAGAACAAGUGCUAGUUGAAUAAGCUGACACCUUGACGGUACCUAACCAGAAAGCCACGGCUAACUACGUGCCAGCAGCCGCAGUAA